rnacentral:piRNA from 1 species
GGCGGGUGAAAUAGUAAUAAACUUUACUCA